rnacentral:rRNA from 1 species
CCUACGGGAGGCAGCAGUGAGGAAUAUUGGUCAAUGGGCUUACGCCUGAACCAGCCAAGUCGCGUGAGGGAAGACGGCCCUAUGGGUUGUAAACCUCUUUUGUCAGGGAGCAAGAGGCGCUACGUGUAGCGUGAUCGAGAGGACCUGAAGAAAAAGCAACGGCCAACUCCGUGCCAGCAGCCGCGGUAAUAAGGAGGAUGCGAGCGUGAGCCGGAUUGAUUGGGUUGAAAGGGUGCGUAGGCGGAAUGCCAAGUCAGCGGUAAAAGCGCGGGGCUCAACCUCGCUCCGCCGUUGAAACUGGCGUUCUUGAGUGGGCGAGAAGUGUGCGGAAUGCGUUGUGUAGCGG